GUGCUUGCUUUGGCAGCACAUAUACUAAAAUUGGAACAAUACAGAGAAAAUUAGCAUGGCCCCUGUGCAAGGAAGACAGGCAAAUUCGUGAAACAUUCCAUUAAAAA